UACCGGCGGCUCGAGUGGUGGCCGCUAUUACUGGGCUUAAAGGGUCCGUAGCUGGAUAUACAAGUCCCUUGAGAAAUCCGCCGGCUUAACCGGUGGGCGUUCAGGGGAAACUGUAUUUCUAGGGACCGGGAGAGGUGAGAGGUACUGCCGGGGUAGGAGUGAAAUCCUGUAAUCCCGGUGGGACCACCUAUGGCGAAGGCAUCUCACCAGAACGGGUCCGACAGUGAGGGACGAAAGCUGGGGGAGCAAA
rnacentral:rRNA from 2 species